CAGGUACAGCGGGAAGCCACCUGGCGACAGGGAGCGGAACCCGAAAGCCUGUCUCAGUUCGGAUUGGAGUCCGCAACCCGACUCCAUGAAGCUGGAUUCGCUAGUAAUCGCGCAUCAGCCACGGCGCGGUGAAUACGUUCCCGGGCCUUGUACACACCGCCCGUCAAGCCAUGGAAGCCGGGGGUGCCUGAAGUGCGCUGCCGCAAGGAGCGCCCUAGGGUAAAACCGGUGACUGGGGCUAAGUCGUAACAAGGUACC
rnacentral:rRNA from 1 species